rnacentral:rRNA from 1 species
UACGUAGGGCGCAAGCGUUAUCCGGAAUUAUUGGGCGUAAAGAGCUCGUAGGCGGUUUGUCGCGUCUGCCGUGAAAGUCCGGGGCUCAACUCCGGAUCUGCGGUGGGUACGGGCAGACUAGAGGUAUGCAGGGGAGAACGGAAUUCCUGGUGUAGCGGUGGAAUGCGCAGAUAUCAGGAGGAACACCGGUGGCGAAGGCAGCUCUCUGGGACGGUACUGACACUGAGACGCGAAAGCGUGGGGAGCGAACAGG